CAGUAGCCGCGGUAAUACGAAGGGUGCAAGCGUUAAUCGGAAUUACUGGGCGUAAAGCGUACGUAGGCGGUGAGUUAAGUCUGCUGUGAAAUCCCCGGGCUCAACCUGGGAAUGGCAGUGGAUACUGGCUCGCUAGAGUGUGUCAGAGGAUGGUGGAAUUCCCGGUGUAGCGGUGAAAUGCGUAGAGAUCGGGAGGAACAUCAGUGGCGAAGGCGGCCAUCUGGGACAACACUGACGCUGAGGCACGAAAGCGUGGGGAGCAAACAGGAUUAGAUACCCCCGUAGUCCCUGUCUCUUAUAC
rnacentral:rRNA from 1 species